rnacentral:rRNA from 1 species
CGCGGCCUAUCAGCUUGUUGGCGAGGUAACGGCUCACCAAGGCAACGACGGGUAGCUGGUCUGAGAGGAUGGCCAGCCACAUUGGGACUGAGAUACGGCCCAGACUCCUACGGGAGGCAGCAGUGGGGAAUCUUGCGCAAUGGCCUAACGGCUGACGCAGCGACGCCGCGUGUGGGAUGAAGCUCUUCGGAGUGUAAACCACUGUUGCCCGGGACGAAUAGCUCGAUUAAUCGAGCCUGACAGUACCGGGUGAGGAAGCACCGGCUAACUCCGUGCCAGCAGCCGCGGUAAUACGGGGGGUGCGAGCGUUGUCCGGAAUCACUGGGCGUAAAGGGCGCGUAGGUGGUUUGAUAAGGGUGUGGUGAAAGUCCGGGGCUCAACCCCGGAUCUGCCGUGCCGACUGUCAAACUCGAGGACUGUAGAGGCAGACGGAAUUCCGGGUGUGGCGGUGGAAUGCGUAGAGAUCCGGAGGAAGACCGGUGGCGAAGGCGGUCUGCUGGGCAGUUUCUGACACUGAGGCGCGACAGCGUGGGGAGCAAACAGGAUUAGAUACCCUGGUAGUCCACGCCGUAAACGAUGGGUACUAGGUGCCUGGGGGAGCGACCCUCUGGGUGCCGGCGCUAACGCAGGAA